rnacentral:sRNA from 1 species
GCCAGGCAUGGUGGCGCAUGCCUGUAAUCCCAGUGGCUCAGCACGCUGAGGCAGGAGGAUCAGGAGGUCACAGCCAGCCUCAGCAAAAAACAAGGCACUAAGCAACUCAGUGAGAUCCUGUCUCUA